rnacentral:rRNA from 1 species
UGUGAAGUCAAUGAUCCCAUGCUGCCAAGAAAAGCCUCUAGCGAGCUUCGAGCGGCCCGUACCCCAAACCGACACAGGUGGUCAGGUAGAGAAUACCGAGGCGAUCGGGCGAACUAUGGUUAAGGAACUCGGCAAAUUACCCCCGUAACUUCGGGAAAGGGGGGCCACAGACCGUCAUACCCCAUGCGGGUGGCAGCGGUAGGUGGCCGCAGAGACCAGGGGGAAGCGACUGUUUACUAAAAACACAGGUCCGUGCGAAGUCGUAAGACGAUGUAUACGGACUGACGCCUGCCCGGUGCUGGAACGUUAAGGGGACCGGUUAGUCCGCAAGGGCGAAGCUGAGAACUUAAGCGCCAGUAAACGGCGGUGGUAACUAUAACCAUCCUAAGGUAGCGAAAUUCCUUGUCGGGUAAGUUCCGACCUGCACGAAUGGCGUAACGACUUCCCUACUGUCUCAACCAUAGGCCCGGCGAAAUUGCAUUACGAGUAAAGAUGCUCGUUACGCGCGGAAGGACGGAAAGACCCCGGGACCUUCACUAUAGCUUGACAUUGGUACUCGAAUUGAAUUGUGUAGGAUAGGUGGGAGACAGUGAAGCGCGGACGCCAGUCCGUGUGGAGUCAAUCUUGAAAUACCACUCUGUUGAAUUGGGUAUCUAACUUCGGACCGUGAUCCGUUUCAGGGACAGUGUCUGGUGGGUAGUUUAACUGGGGCGGUUGCCUCCUAAAAUGUAACGGAGGCGCCCAAAGGUUCCCUCAGCCUGGUUGGCAAUCAGGUGUUGAGUGCAAGUGCACAAGGGAGCUUGACUGUGAGACUGACAGGUCGAGCAGGGACGAAAGUCGGGACUAGUGAUCCGGCACCUGCGAGUGGAAGCGGUGUCGCUCAACGGAUAAAAGGUACCCCGGGGAUAACAGGCUGAUCUUCCCCAAGAGUCCAUAUCGACGGGAUGGUUUGGCACCUCGAUGUCGGCUCGUCGCAUCCUGGGGCUGGAGUAGGUCCCAAGGGUUGGGCUGUUCGCCCAUUAAAGCGGCACGCGAGCUGGGUUUAGAACGUCGUGAGACAGUUCGGUCCCUAUCCUCCGCGCGCGCAGGAGACUUGAGAAGGGCUGUCCCUAGUACGAGAGGACCGGGACGGACGAACCUCUGGUGUGCCAGUUGUCAUGCCAAUGGCACGGCUGGUUAGCUACGUUCGGAAGGGAUAACCGCUGAAAGCAUCUAAGCGGGAAGCCUGCUUCAAGAUGAGGUCUCCCACCCCUAGAGGGUUAAGGCCCCCAGCUAGACCACUGGGUUGAUAGGCCAGAAGUGUAAGCCUGGCAACAGGUUCAGCCGACUGGUACUAAUAGGCCGAGGACUUCAAAAA